UACGAAGGGGGCUAGCGUUGCUCGGAAUGACUGGGCGUAAAGGGCGCGUAGGCGGACUGCACAGUCAGGCGUGAAAUUACUGGGCUUAACCUGGGGACUGCGUCUGAGACGUGUGAUCUAGAGUGAGGAAGAGGGUCGUGGAAUUUCCAGUGUAGAGGUGAAAUUCGUAGAUAUUGGAAAUAACACCGGUGGCGCAGGCGGCGACCUGGUCCUUGACUGACGCUGAGGAGCGAAAGCGUGGGGAGCAAACAGG
rnacentral:rRNA from 1 species